AUGACGUCUCCUGACCAACAUAGUGCAGGACUGCAGGGAGCUGAUCCCUUGAAACAUCCAUCUGAGCUACUGUCGGCCGAAAUAAAGCCUAAUUCUACCACUGGAAAAGAGAAUAUGGAGUUACCGAAUAAUCUGAACACCACGACAAAGAAGAGUACAGUUAUGAUUAUGAUGAUUAUGUUGACGAUACCACGUGGGGAGACGAGGAUUGUACAGAAACAAGAGCAUGAGAAAGCGGAAGAUUAUGUGCACAUAUAUGCUCACAUAUUGUCGACCCCAGUAAUUGCAGACAUUGACAAUGACGUAAUGAACCGAAGAACUUUCAGCCACAACAUGAGCACUUCAUUAUAUCUUGCCUGUGUUACCGUGGUGGCGUACCUUUUGCAGUCUAGAAGCUAUGAUAACGCACAGCAUUUAAAAGAGCUAGGAGGGACAGACCUCGAUUUGAGUAUCGGAGACAGGAGCUUCUGUGCCCAUGCAAAUUCAUCUCCAACUGUGGUUGAUUUGGAUGGUGAUGGAAAUUCGGACAUCCUUAUUGGAACUUCCUAUGGCUUGCUAAGUUCUGCUGUUGACGAAUUAGAUGACCAGAACUGUUGA
rnacentral:rRNA from 1 species